GAUACGUGACGCGGAAACUAAUACUGGUCAGGGGGGUUUAAUAUAAAAUUGACACCCCUGAUAUUUAUCGCCAUCAGUACGCCACUGCCGAGUUGUUCGUUUAUCAUACAACUCAUUACUUAUACUGUGACUCAUAUUUAUCAUCAAUAUUUACUUUGCUUUAUAAUAAUUAUCUAACCACUUGACCACAGCUUACUUACUAUCUAAGUAAGCUGUGACUUGACCAUUUGACUUUUAAGAAAGGGCAAUGAUGGAAGAACCGGCUCAUAGCAUUGGAAUAAAAACGUGAAAGACGAUUAAAAGAGAAAUUGGAUACCAAGCUGGAUCCUCGACUGAAUCAGAUGGGUAAGUGGGCCCAACCUCGCGGACUCCACUCAGUCCCAGCCAACUGCACAUCCAAGAAGAAGAUACAACCGAUAGGUACCAAGUAAAGUCGUGUUCGUUUCUUGUGAUUAGAUCAGUAUAUCACUUUACUUCGAUCGGUGAUGAAAGCAGGCCUGGUUCGUGGUGGCCCUUGGCUGGAUGAUGGAUUUGAGCCCCCCCCCGUGGGGUCCUCUCACCGUCAAAUUUGUCUAUUUGCUCCAUGCAACCAAUGUGGUUUUAAAUAGUUUUAACUUUUAAAUGAUGUGGUUUAAGUGAUUUGUUAAUGCCUUCAUACGAGCAGCAAAUUAACAUUUAUUAAUUGUUGUAUAUCUACGUGAAAGAACAUGUAGUACUACUUAAGAAUGACAAGAACUAAAAUAGAACAAUAAUUCAAAAGAGAGGCCAGCUACGAACAAGACAGUGAAAAUCACAAUGCAAAAAAACAAUGCAUUACAAUUAUAAGCAAAACUGUCCUUUGGAGGCCCUCGGUCGCCGACCAGCCGCCCUGGUCAGACUGAACCCGGAUGGAAGUGAUUUGAUUAGACCUUGAAUCGAACAACGAAAAAUAGUUACCAUGGAAUACCCAAACGAUUGUACGCGUACUGACCUGGAUGCAAAAUUUACUAUGUUCACUUUGAAGUGAUAUUUCAGUGGUGGGGGUGUACUGAUUGAAGCAGAAACGAAUGCUGUACGAUCACAUUUAGUUAGUUAAAUCGAUACAAUGAGGAGAGACGAACACGACUAAUGUAAUCUAAACAACAUCAUGGUCACAACAACGGCCGGUAUUACAGCAUACCUGCUUAACUACGUUGUUCAUUCUUUGCAAAAACAUCCAAUCACAAGCCUUAACAACAUUGUUAGUUGACAACAGUUAAGUAUGCAUUAUAAUGCUGUGCGAUCAAAAAUGAGUUGCUGUCAAGUCACCUUUGGAAUUUUUGUUUACAUGAGAAAUCGUACUUAACGUGAACUUCCAAAGGCGACUCCACAGCAACUCAUUGUUGAUCACCCGUACAGGCCGUAUGUGUAGUGUAGGAAGUUUUUCUUGAUUGACAACUUCGGCAUAGGAAUGAACAGCAUGUCGACUGUUUCAAGUGCGCCAGCUAUAUGAUCAGAACAUGGCCCAUCUACUCUAUUUUUGCCAUCGCCACAAGCUGAUAUUCGGAAACUGGUGCGUUACAAUGAUGUGUUUUUUAAAAUUAAAACUUGUCGCAGUGUUUUGCAACCGAUAAAUCCCUAAUUUUGUUGUUGCUUUCAGUAAAUCUAAAUACUCUUAA